UGUCUCUACUAAAAAUACAAAAAAAAAAUUAGCCAGGUGUGGUGGUGUGUGCCUGUAGUCCCAGCUACUCGGGAGGCUGAGGCAGGAGAAUGGCAUGAACCCUAGAGGUGGAGCUUGCAGUGAGCCAAGACAGUGCCACUGCACUCCAGCCUGGGUGACAGAGCGUUAUUGGGUUCAAUGUUCUAUAGAAGUCCAUGAAGUCAAUUUUAUGAUUGUGUAGUUCAAAUAUUCUAGAUUUUUACUGGUCUUCAUAUGUUUGCUCUGUAAGCUAUCACUAAAAGCUUAUUCUUUCAAUUGUUUGUUCUGUAAGCUCUCACUGUGUGUACUUGUCUCCUUUGUAUCUUGUCAAAUUUUGCUUUAUAUGUUUUGAGGCUAUGUUAUUGGUGCACACAAACUUCUAGUUACUAUAUCUCUGGGAAGAAUUGAAAAUUUUAUUAUAAUAAGGCUUUUAGCCUUAAAGUCUACUUUGUCUGAUCCUAAUGUAUUUUAAAAUUUAAUGAUUGUAUGAUGUAUUUUUUCUGCCCUUUUAAAAAUAAAGGGCAGAAAAACAUGUUAACUUUCUUUAUUCUUAGUUUUAGAUAUCUCUUUUGUAAACAACUUAAUUUAAAAAUAUCCAAUUGACAUUAUGGAAAACACUAUGGAGUUUCCUCAAAAAAUUAAAAGUAGAAUUAUCAUAUGAUUCAUCAAUCCCACUACUGGGUAUAUAUCUACAAGAAAUGAAGUCUGUAUGUCUGAGAGAUAUCUGCAUUCCCAUGUUCGUUGUAGUGUUAUUCACGAUAACCAAGAUAUGAAAUCAACCUAAGUGUUAAUUGGCAAAUGAAUUGAUAGAGGAAGCAUGGUAUGUAUACACAGUGGAACACUAUUCAGCCUCAAACGAAGGAAAGUCUGCCAUUUGCAGCAACAUGGAUAAACCUGGAGGACACACGUUAAGUGAAGUAAGCCAGGCACAGAAGAAAAAUACCACGUGAUCUCAUUUAUAUGUGGAAUCUAACAAAGUUGAACUCAUAGAAGGAGAGAGUAGAAUGGUGGUUACCAGGGGCUGUGAAAUGGGAGAGGAUUGGUGAAAUGUUAGUCAGGAAGUACAAAAUUUCAAUUAGACCAGAGGAGUAAGUCAAGAGAUUCCUUGUAUGACCUGGUGACUAUAGUUAAUAACAAUGUAUUGUACACUUAAAAAUUACUAUGAGAGCAGAUUUUAAGUCUUCUGAACACACAAAAAGUUAUGUGAGGUAAUGCAUAUGUCAAUUAGCUUGAUUUAGGCAUUCUAUAAUGUAUACAUAUAUCAAAAUACCAUACUGUAUACUAUAAAUGUAUACAAUUUUUAUUUAUCAGUUAAAACCAUAUCCAGUUGAAAUGAUUUGGUCUUUAAUUGGAAUGAUGAGUCCAUCUGUAUUUAAUGUAAUGAUUGACAAUCUUACUAUGUGACUUCCAUUUGUUCCAUAUGGUCUAUGUGUAUUUUUAUCUCCUUUCUUAUAUUCUUUUGGAUCUAUACAGUAGUUCAUUAUUUUACCCCUACUAUUAGUUUGGAAUUUAUAUGUAUUUGUGCAAUAUGUUGCCGUUAUAUCAUGAAUUUUUAAUUUAUUAAAAUCUGAAAAUUAUUAUUUUGUUCUUCUCUAGGAUAAUACAAAGACAUUAAAACACUUUACAUUUACUCUCUUCUGACUUAUGAAUAAUUGCUAUAUAUGUAUAUACAUAUAUAUGGGACAAUUUAUAUGACAGAGAUAAUACCACAAAUAAAUGGUAAAAGAUGGAUCAGUCAAUAGGUGUUUUGGGGAAACUUGCUGACUUCUGUAUGUGGAAAAAAAUAAGACUGGAUUUCUAACU
rnacentral:lncRNA from 10 species